CCUUGUGCUUUCGAGGCAGGCGGCGGAACCAUUGAGCUAAAUCCCCGGCCUUAUUUUAGCUUUUAUAAAGCUUUGCUUCUCCCAUGUACAGCACUGUCUGGUGGAAAAUGUUUGCCCAGAACUCCUUCCACUUAAUCUCACUGCCUGGUGGCAGCGGAAUAAUCAUGUGUAUCUAUGUGUGUGCGUGUGUGCCUUUGUACAUGUGUGUGCUUGCACGUGCUCACACACACAAGUGCUGUGAGGUGUUUUCAGACAUGCCUCCUCCAGGGGCUUCAGGGUAGGGAACACAGGUGUGGGAACAGCUCACCAGAGCUGGUGGGGUACAGGUUUCCCUGAAGAGCUUGGAUGGGUGACCUCACCCUCAGGGUCCCAGACUGGGGGACCUGGGGAAGUUCUCAGCCCCCAGCAGGUAAAGUCCCUGUGCCAGAGAGACAUUUUGCCAGAUGUGGUGGCACACACCUGUGAUUCAAGCAGUUGGGAGGCUGAGGCAGGAGGAUCGCCAGGAGCUCAAGGCCAGCUUGGGCAACAUAGUGAGACCCUGUCUCAGAAAGAAAAAAAAGCACCAAAAAUUAUAAAUAGUUCCAUAUGAGGAAAUAAAGCUAGCUGGGGGAGGGGGGCGUUCACUCCCAGGGCAGGUUUGACCCCAUCUGUACUAAGCAGGGCCAAGGGGGUUGGAGGAGGAAGAGAGUGGUUUUAGUUGAGCCCCCACCCCCGGGGAGGUCUCCAGAACUAAACGGCAAAGCCCUGGGAGAGGGGACAGCCAGAAAGAGGGUGCUGAGGUGGGGUGGAGUUCGUCCAGAUGGGGGCCGUGUGGGGUGUCCCAUCCACCCCGAGGUCUGCCAGGCUGUGGGGCCUGAGACUGGAAUGAGGCCAGAGUGGCCAGAGCUCUGCAGGCCUAAUAGGGAAGGCGGAUCUGCUGGGAAGGCGAAGGGGAGGCAGGGAGACAGGCUGGGCAAGGGGCUGGGGCAGGGCCUGGAGGAAGGGGCACUUUCCCCCACUCCCCACUGUGGGCUCGAGGGAGGCCACUUGGCCGAGGGUGGGGUCGGAAGGCUCCAGUGUGGGCCAGGACAUCUGCCACCCGGCUCUUCCCGGGGAGCAGAGGGAAUUCCCAAGUGCCACAGCCAGAGCCCGCUGCCAGGCGUCCCAGCAGGUGGCCUCAGCUGGGCUGCAGCCGUGGGAAGUGAAUCCCGAUCCAGGUCCUCUGAGUAACGCAAGUGGACGCCCCCACUGGGCAACACCCAGCUGCCAGGGAGCUGGGACUGCGCCGCAGAUGAGUCUCCCAGAACUUCGGGAUAUUUUUAGUUACUUUAGCUAUUUUAGAACCCAGAAAGGAGGAAAUAUUUGCUAUCUGGAAUAGUUGGGGUUUUAUGUUUGUUUUUCCAGCACUGGGGAUCGAACCCAGGGCCUUCACACUGAGCUAUGUCCCCAGCCCUUUUUCAUUUUGAGACCAGGUCUUGCUGAACCGCUAAAUUACCCAGGCUGGGCUUGCACUUGCCCUCCGCCUGCCUCAGCCUCCAGAGUGCUGGGAUCCCGGGCGCUGGCAUGGCCCGUGGCCCUUUCUGGAGUAGUUUUGAUGCAGCGGAGUUGGUGAGCAGCAGCGGUGACCCAUCGGGCCUGUUCUGAGCUCUUGGUGACAGGAUGGGAAGCACUGGAAGGAUUAGGUGGCCAUGGGCACUGAAGCGGAGGCUGAGGGCUUUCUGGCUUCUCCCCAAAUCCCGGCCCACCCGUUAGCCCUUCCUUUCUCAACACCAGGUGAAUCUCGGCCGGCCAAGCCUUUGCCCACGAGUCCGCCCAGCUUAGGCUCUGGUGGCCGUCGUCCCCCAAGCCUGGUGGCCAGGGAGGGGGUCCCCAUCCCGCCCUCCCUCCAAAGUGGCUUAUUUUUCUUGGUCACUGAAUGGCAGAAAGGGUAUUUUGGGGGGCAUUCCCAAGACUAACAGGGAUCUCGAUGGCUGCCUGUUCCCUCUUCUCUUCUCUUUUUUUCAGUAGUAGGGAUGGAACCCAGGGAUUUUUUUACUUCGUCCUUUCUGAGACAGGGCUUUGCUGUGUUGCUAAGUUGCCCAGGCCAGGUCGGACGUGCUGCCUUCCUGCCUCAGUCUCCCAGAGUGCUGUGUUACAAGAAUGCAGCACUACACUGGCCCUUUUCUUUUUCUUGUAAAAUCUAAGCCUUGUGAAGGUCAGAGUGAGGAAGGAGGAGCAGUGGCACAGAGGGGCGGGCAAUGAUCACUAAAGCGCUCCUCGGAGCUGAGCCUUGGGACCGACAUUGUGACUGCUCCGCCAUUGACCUUCCCACCCCUGAGUCCGGGACCACGACGACAUCAGCCUCGUGGUCCCCCUUGGAAUGGCACUAGAGGCUCGAGUCAGGAUUGAGCCGGAGCUGGAAUUGCCGCCGCCCCCGCUGCACUCGAUUCCUGGACCCUGCAGGGACAGGGAGAGGGGCCUGGACCCAGGCUGUCCUCGCUCCUUUCUUCUCUGGCACGAGGGCUGCUGGGCACACCUGUGUGUGAGUGUGUGCACGCACAUGUGCACAGCAUGCUGUGUUGGGUACAAGUGGCCAACCUUUGUGUCCAUGAGCUGCUCAGCCUCGUGUGCUGCUGUCGUGCAGUGUGUGGUCCCUGGUGCAGGGCCAGGGCGAGGACAAGGUCGAGGUGUAAGGACCGUCCCCUGCAUGGACCCUGCUUAGCCUGGGAGAGGGCCGUUACUCGGUUUUGUUUUGUUUUUAGGUUUUUGAGGCAGGAUUUCGCUAUGUACUUCAGGCUGGUCUUACACACACUAUGUAGGCCAGGCUGGCCCAGAACUCAGGGCAAUCCUACUGCCUCGGCCUCUCCAGUGCCAGGAUCACGGGCGAGCACCAGUACGCCAGGCGAGAGGGCCGUUUGGGGCUCAGCUCCAGCUCCCUGCCACCCGUGGCUCCUGCCUGUACGUGCAGGCAGCCCGACCUGCUGCUCUGGGUUUGGGGAUGGUAGGACUUGUUGGACCCUGCUGUUGUCUGAUCUGCCGGCUCCUCUGUCCCGCUCCUGGCUCCAUCCUGGUGGCCUGGGUCACAGCCCCUGGGGGGCAGGUAGGUGCUUAGGCCCCAGGCCCAGCUGCCAGAGACAGCCGAUUUGAUUCCCUGUGCUGUUCCGCAGCUGAGACCUGAGCCCUGGGUGGAGCUCGGGGCACAGGAGACACGGAUUCGGCCAAAGGGGAGCAGCCAGGAUGGCCCUCUCCCCGCCAGCCUGCUCAUCCGGCGGCAUGGUGCCCACUCUGCCCCGGGGAACAGCAGAAGCUGAAGACAGGGCGCUCCUCUUUCCCCUGUCUGACUCCGGUCCCCACCAGCUGGCUGGGUUGGGCCGGGGCCAGGAGCUACGUUUGUUCACCCACCGCCUUCCUGUCCCCUGCGCCCUCUGCAUGUAGCACCCUCUGCAUGUAGCGUUUCCAGUGUGGCUUCUCCACCCUGGCCGCGCCUGACCCACAGGCCGCAGAGGUCUCUUUGUGUCCCCCCGGCUGAAACCCCCUUUCCUGUCUCAGCCCGAGAAGAAGCCAAAGGCCCCCUGCGACCCGGCCUCGCCCAGGACCGUGCCCUUUGACCUCCUGCCUGAGACUGAGCCCAGGACGCUGCCCCAUUACCCCGAGCCCGGGCCCCGGCCUGGCCCAGGGGAGCCCGCAGCGCCUGGGGACGUCUAGGGUCCCCGGGUCCGUGGCGCAGUUUCUUUAGAAACUGUUUUCCGAAGAGAUCCGUGUUUGCCAGAUCCUGCUCUGGGCGGGGCCCUUGACACUGCCAACUCGGAGGCGGAAGGGGACCUGUUGUUGGGUGCUGAGCCUCCCUGCCUCCCUGAGCAGGAUUCCCACCAUUUUUCUUUUUGUGUGUGUAUGUGUGUGUUGUUUUUGGUACCGGGGAUCGAACUCGGGUCCUUGCACUUGCGCAGCAGGCGGCGAAACCACUGAGCUAAAUCCCAGGCCCCCUUUUCCACCGUUUUAAAAGAGGCAUUGGGGAUUGAAUCCAGGGCCAGGCCCUCAGCUAUAUCCCCAACCUUUAUUUUUGGCACGGCGUCUUGCUGAGCUGCUGAAUUGCCCAGCCGGGGCUUCACCUUGAGACUCUCCUGCCUCAGCCUCCCAGGGUGCUCUUUGGAGCAUCACACACCACUGUGAUGUCUCCGCACCCCUCACCCCCCAAUCCACACUCCUUCUUGGGGAGAGCGUCCCUUGUGGAGAAUGUGCAGUGGAGCAGGAGGAAGGACCUGCUGCCACUACUGAUGCACCAGGUCAAGAGAGGCCCCAACCCAGGUGUGGCCCUUGUCCCUUACAUGUGAAGUCUUCCUGAGGGCCAGGUACAUAGUAGGUGCUCAGUUAAACUAUUAUUGCGCACUACUCGACACUGAACCCCAAGCCUUCUCACUGAGCUCCAUCCCUUUUUAAAUUUUGAAACAAGGCCUAAGUCACUAAAUUUGCCCAGGCUAGGCUGAAACUUGCAAUCCUCCUGCCUCAACUUCCCAUAAGUUGUAACCUUAUAUAGAUCUAAGCUCAGGGUUGGGGUGGAGGAAGUGAGGAGACUCCCUGGGUGCCUGGCUGGGCUGGGGUCCUUGCGCUUGCUGGUGGUGGGGCCUGUGUGACUUGUCCAGACCUGGUCAUUAAAGGUAACUGGAAACCCA